rnacentral:rRNA from 1 species
GAAAGUAAGCAAGGGCGCAUGGCGGAUGCCUUGGCUCUCGGAGGCGAUGAAGGACGUGAUAAGCUGCGAUAAGCUUCGGGCAGGUGCAAAUAACCUUUGAUCCGAAGAUUUCCGAAUGGGACAACCCGGCAUUCUGAAGGAAUGUCAUCCAUCCUAGAUGGAAGCUAACGCAGGGAACUGAAACAUCUUAGUACCUGUAGGAAAAGAAAAUAAUAAUGAUUCCCCUAGUAGUGGCGAGCGAACGGGGAUUAGCCCAAACCAAUGUUGUUACGGCAAUAUUGGGGUUGUAGGACCACGAUGUCGCAAGAAAUUUAGUGAGAAGAACCCUUUGGAAAAUGGGACCAUAGACGGUGAUAGUCCGGUAUUCGAAGCUAAAUGAAGCGUAGUGGUAUCCUGAGUAGCGCGGGACACGAGGAAUCUUGCGUGAAUCUGCCGGGACCAUCCGGUAAGGCUAAAUACUCCCGAGAGACCGAUAGCGAACCAGUACUGUGAAGGAAAGGUGAAAAGCACUUCGAAUAGAAGAGUGAAAUAGUCCCUGAAACCGUGCGCCUACAAGCGGUCGGAGCUGCUUCAGCAGUGACGGCGUGCCUUUUGCAUAAUGAACCUACGAGUUACUUUUUCCGGCAAGGUUAAGGAUCUUGAGAUCCGCAGCCGAAGCGAAAGCGAGUCUUAACAGGGCGAUUAGUCGGAAGGAGUAGACGCGAAACCAAGUGAUCUACCCUUGGUCAGGUUGAAGGUUAGGUAACACUAACUGGAGGACCGAACCGAUAAGCGUUGAAAAGCUUCCGGAUGAACUGAGGGUGGGGGUGAAAGGCUAAUCAAACUUGGAGAUAGCUCGUACUCCCCGAAAUGCAUUUAGGUGCAGCCUUGGGAAUUACUACUGUGAGGUAGAGCGACUGAUAAGAUGCGAGGGCUUCACCGCCUAUCAAGUCUUGAUAAACUCCGAAUGCGCAGUAGUUCGAUCCCAGGAGUGAGGGCAUGGGUGCUAAGGUCCAUGUCCUAAAGGAGAAGAAUCCAGACCAUCAGCUAAGGUCCCGAAAUAAUUGCUAAGUUGAACUAACGAAGUCAGAUUGCUAAGACAGCUAGGAUGUUGGCUUGGAAGCAGCCAUUCAUUUAAAGAGUGCGUAACAGCUCACUAGUCGAGGAGUUUGGCGUGGAUAAUAAUCGGGCAUCAAGCAAUUUACCGAAGCUAUGGGAUCCGUAAGGAUCGGUAGGGGAGCAUUCCACUCUGCGUCGAAGGUGAAGCGUGAGCUUUGCUGGAGCGUGUGGAAAAGCAAAUGUAGGUAUAAGUAACGAUAAAGGGGGUGAGAAACCCCCUCGCCGAAAGACUAAGGUUUCCUGAUCAACGCUAAUCGGAUCAGGGUUAGUCGGGUCCUAAGGCUCAGCCGAACGGUGAGGCCGAUGGCAGAACAGGUUAAUAUUCCUGUACUACCUUAAGGAGUGACGUGGAGACGGAGGAGUGACAGCGCCGCGGACUGACGGAAUAGUCCGUUGAAGGGUGUAGAUGUUGAUUAUCCCAGGCAAAUCCAGGAUAAGAGUCGAACCUGAUAGUAUACCAAAUUCUUCGGAAUAAGGUAAUAGUGCGUGUAAGCAUACUCCCAAGAAAAUCCGCUAAACUUAAUCUUUAAGGUACCCGUACCGCAAACGGACACACGUAGUCGGGUUGAAUAUACUAAGGCGCUUGAGUGAUUCACGGUUAAGGAACUAGGCAAAUUGACCCUGUAACUUCGGGAUAAAGGGUCCCAACGAGAGUUGGGCGCAGAGAAUAGGUCCAGGCAACUGUUUAACAAAAACACAGGGCUGUGCUAAAUUGAAAGAUUACGUAUACAGCCUGACACCUGCCCGGUGCUGGAAGGUUAAGAGGAGAUGUCAUCGCAAGAGAAGCAUUGAAUUGAAGCCCCAGUAAACGGCGGCCGUAACUAUAACGGUCCUAAGGUAGCGAAAUUCCUUGUCGGGUAAGUUCCGACCUGCACGAAUGGUGUAAUGAUCUGGACACUGUCUCAACCGUGAGCUCAGUGAAAUUGUAGUAUCGGUGAAGAUGCCGAUUACCCGCGAUGGGACGAAAAGACCCCGUGAACCUUUACUAUAGCUUAACAUUGAAUUUGGGUAAUUGAUGUGUAGGAUAGGCCGGAGACUUUGAAGCAGGUACGCCAGUAUUUGUGGAGUCGCUGUUGAAAUACGGCCCUUUGAUUAUUUGAGUUCUAAC